GCCUCUGUAGCUCAGUGGUAGAGCGCACCCUUGGUAAGGGUGAGGUCGCGGGUUCAAUUCCCGUCGGAGGCU
rnacentral:tRNA from 1 species